CUGGGCUCUGGGGAGAGAGGACCUCCAGCGCCCAUCGUAGAGGAAGAGAUGAGCGGGGCCUGAGCACUGGUCGGGUCUUGGCCUCAGAUGCUCCUGCUCACCCUUCAGAUCUCUGUGCAGCUUGGUCUGUCCUGACCCGGAGCCUGCAUGGGGUCACUGCGUGCCACCACCUCUUCCAGGAAGCCCUGGCCUUCAUCUCUCUUUGGAACCCUGGUCAAGGUCAAUUUUAUAUUUACUGGCUUGAUGAGGGUCGGGUCUCCCCCACACACACACUCAGCUGGAAGCUCUCGUAACCUGGGUACCUCUGAAUGCAGAGAUUCUUGGAGCUUCGAGGGAAAGGGGUCCCAGAGGCAGCCCCAGCAGCUGUCCAGCCUGCUGAGCCCUGACCAGACCCAGCUCCACCCUUAGGGACAGAGGCUGGACUCCAAGGACUCCAAUCUCUUCCUGGCCAGGCUCAGCUUUCUCUGAAAACCCACUUACACAACCUGAGACUCUAAGAGAAUAUAGAAUGAGGAAACAGUGAGUACACAGGGCAGAGGAGCCCUGUAAGUUCAACUCCUGCAUUUUUAAAUGCUUUAGAAACCCACAUUUACACUCAGUGCAGGGAGCUUGGGGUGGUAAGCAACAGAGACCCAAGUGUCUCCCUUAAACACAAAAAGGAAUUGAUUGGGUCCGAGAAAUAGAAAGUCUUCAGGUAUGGCUAGAUCAAGGGGCUCAAGCGCUGACGGGCUUGUGCCUGUAUCCAUCUCUUUGCUCUGCCAUCUGCUGCGUUGGCGUCAUUUUGGAGGUUCUCCUGCUGGUGGAAGCCCAGGCCUACACCCUGCCACAGUUCAGUGCAAUGGAGAGAGAGCCCAUCCUAUCCGCCCGACCCCGGGGGCACAGACCCAUCUCAGAAACUACUGCUCUGGCUAGGGGGUGUUAUCCACUGAUUGGUGGGAGCGGGGUCACAAGCCUUAGGAGUACAGAGGGGUGUGACAGGGAGUGUAAAUUCCCAAAGGAAAACAGGGCUCUGUUCCCAGAGCCAGCAGGGAACGAGCUGAAUAAGGGGUCUGCGCCACCAGGACGUCACAGGCGUCGUGGCAGGUCUAGGGCACUGUUCCAAGCCCCAGCGUUUGUGGCAGACCCACCCUCCGGAACAUCCUGGCCCCCUUCCCAACUUCCACUCGCCAGCAACCUUGUCUCCGGAGCCUUCGGGCUUCAGCCUGCUCCGCCCACUUCUGCAUGCCCCGCCCACUUCCUCGGCG
rnacentral:lncRNA from 1 species